GAUGAACGCUGGCGGCGUGCCUAAUACAUGCAAGUCGAGCGAACAGACGAGGAGCUUGCUCCUUUGACGUUAGCGGCGGACGGGGGAGUAACACGUAGGUAACCUCCUUAUAAGACUGGGAAAACUUCGGGAAACCGGAGCUAAUACCGGAUAAUAUUUUGAACCGCAUGGUUCGAUAGUGAAAGUUGGCUUUGCUAUCACUUAUCGAUGGAUCUGCGCCGUAUUAGCUAGUUGGUAAGGUCACGGCUUACCAAGGCAAGGAUACGUAACCGACCUGAUAGGGUGGUCGGCCACACUGGAACUGAGACACGGUCCAGGCUCCUACGGGAGGCAGCAGUAGGGAAUCUUCCGCAAUGGUCGAAAGCCUGGCGGAGCAGCGCCGCGUGAGUGGUGAAGGUCUUCGGAUCGUAAAACUCGGUUAUUAGGGAAGAACAAACGUGUAAGUAACUGUACACGUCUUGACGGUACCGAAUCAGAAAGCCACGGCUAACUACGUG
rnacentral:rRNA from 1 species